AACGAACGCUGGCGGCGUGCUUAACACAUGCAAGUCGAGCGGUAAGGCCCUUUCGGGGGUACGACGAGCGGCGAACGGGUGAGUAACACGUGGGUGACCUGCCCUCCAGCUCUGGGAGUAAGCCUCGGGAAACCGGGUACCGUAAUAACCGGAUAUGACUCCAUGACGCAUGUUGUGGGGUGGAAAGCCUUGUGCGGCUGAGGAUGGGCCCGCGGCCUAUCAGCUUGUUGGUGGGGUGAUGGCCUACCAAGGCGACGACGGGUAGCCGGCCUGAGAGGGCGACCGGCCACACUGGGACUGAGACACGGCCCAGACUCCUACGGGAGGCAGCAGUGGGGAAUAUUGGACAAUGGGCGCAAGCCUGAUCCAGCGAUGCCGCGUGUGUGAAGAAGGCCUGCGGGUUGUAAAGCACUUUCAGU
rnacentral:rRNA from 1 species